UACGAAGGGGGCUAAGGCGUUGUCCGGAAUUAUUUGGGCGUAAAGAGCUCGUAGGCGGUUUGUCGCGUCUGCUGUGAAAUCCCGAGGCUCAACCUCGGGCCUGCAGUGGGUACGGGCAGACUGGAGUGCGGUAGGGGAGAAUGGAAUUCCUGGUGUAGCGGUGGAAUGCGCAGAUAUCAGGAGGAACACCGAUGGCGAAGGCAGUUCUCUGGGCCGUAACUGACGCUGAGGAGCGAAAGCGUGGGGAGCGAACAGG
rnacentral:rRNA from 1 species